rnacentral:lncRNA from 1 species
GAGGUGCAGUGUGCACAGGCCUGGUUGUACCAUUGUAGCUAUGGUUGAUAGCCAAAGAGGAAUGCAAGGCCUGUCUGUGGGUGUUGCCCUGGGCACAGCACUCCCUACGUGCCUCAGCUAAAAUACCGUAGCCUCAACCAGAGGCCUCCCUAAGAGGUUAGACAGAUGGAUUCCUGGUGGGUAUGAGGGUCUUGAAGCCACCAGUCACCUGAGCUUCCUUUUGUAGGCCUAAGCCAAGGCCGUUCCUUGCAAAUUCUUCUGAGUAGGUCCCUGUGCUGUAGGAAGGAGAGGGCAUCAGGGAUGGGGCAUAGGCCUCAAGCUCCCGGCCAGCCCCAUGCCACAGGCCCUGUGGUUUGCCAGUUCACUGGAUAGUGCUCACCCUUGAUGUCUCUGUUUUCCGGUCAUCCACCAGGCUCGCCAAUCCUCCACCACUGUGGUGGCUGUGUGAGGCACCUCCAGAGGGAAUACACUACCGCUGUGUGGCUUUCAGCUAUGAGGGACUCCUCAGAAUGGUGGCCUACAUUAUAUACCUUCCCAUCUCUCCUUUCCUUCGCCCCUCCCCUUCCUGUCCCCCUUCAUGCUUUUUCUUCACUCUGUUCCCGGCUUUCUUUAUUUUUGUUUAUUUUUGUGUGUGUGUGUUUUUUUAAAAUAAUUUCUCUUAAUCAUUAAGCUAUCUUUCUAGUCCUAUGAGACACUGUU